rnacentral:rRNA from 1 species
CAAUAGCGUAUAUUAAAGUUGUUGCAGUUAAAAAGCUCGUAGUUGGAUUUCUGGUAGGAGCGACCGUGCCGAACUUGAUUGUUCGAGUAUUGUGUUGUCUUCAGCCAUCCUCGUGGAGAACUUUUCUAACAUUAACUUGUUGGGAUUGGGACCCGCGUCGUUUACUGUGAAAAAAUUAGAGUGUUUAAAGCAGGCAUUAGCUUGAAUACAUUAGCAUGGAAUAAUAAGAUAGGACUUUGGUACUAUUUUGUUGGUUUGCAUACCAAAUUAAUGAUCAACAGGAACAGUUUGAGGAUACUCGUAUGAACAUGUCAGAGGUGAAAUUCUUGGAUUUUGAUCAGACGAACUACUGCGAAAGCAUUUAUCAAGGAUGUUUUCAUUAA